rnacentral:rRNA from 1 species
GACGAACGCUGGCGGCGUGCUUAACACAUGCAAGUCGAACGGAAAGGCCCUGCUUUUGUGGGGUGCUCGAGUGGCGAACGGGGGAGUAACACGUGAGUAACCUGUCCUUGACUUUGGGAUAACUUCAGGAAACUGGGGCUAAUACCGGAUAGGAGCUCCUGCUGCAUGGUGGGGGUUGGAAAGUUUCGGCGGUUGGGGAUGGACUCGCGGCUUAUCAGCUUGUUGGUGGGGUAGUGGCUUACCAAGGCUUUGACGGGUAGCCGGCCUGAGAGGGUGACCGGCCACAUUGGGACUGAGAUACGGCGCAGACGCCUACGGGAGGCAGCAGGGGGGAAUAUUGCACAAUGGGCGGAAGCCUGAUGCAGCAACGCCGCGUGCGGGAUGACGGCCUUCGGGUUGUAAACCGCUUUCGACUGUGACGAAGCGUGAGUGACGGUAAUGGGUAAAGAAGCACCGGCUAACUACGUG